rnacentral:misc_RNA from 1 species
GUGAAUCAUCAAAUUUUUGAACGCAAAUUGCACUCUCCGGUUUUCCGGGAGAGUAUGCCUGUUUGAGAGUCAUUCUAAAAAAAAUCGCCAUUGUUGCGGUUAUUUAAUGGUGACUUUCGUCGGAGAUUGGGUUAUCUUAAACCUUUUUUUUUUGGUUUAAGCCAUGUAAAAUUUUUCUUCUCGAUUCCAUGAUCGUUAC